GCAAGAGGCCUUCUCUGAAAAAAGCAAAGAACUGAUGGAGGAGAUGAUUAAAGACAUUCGGAAGUCUUCAUUAGUAACCUUGAUGGACUGACCUGGAUGGAUCCGAGACCAAGAAAGCAGCUGAGGAGAAGGCCCGAGCUAUUCGCGAAAGGAUUGGCUAUUCCGCAAACAUAAUGGAUGACAAAUACCUAAACAAUGAGUACAAAGAU